UCCUGACCUCAGGAGAUCCACCGGCCUCGGCCUCCCAAAGCGCUGGGAUUACAGGUGUGAGCCACCGUGCCCGGCUAAGCCCCGCUUUUCUAGAUCUUGGGCUGGGGGAGAAAAAGGAAGCCGUUUCCUCUCCACUCCCAGGGCCCAGGGAAAGGGAGGUGGUCCUGGCCCCCUGGGGAGGGCAGGACUUUGGUUGUAGGGUUGGCCCCCAGAGCCAGGGGUGGAAAGGGUCUCCAGGGGAGCUGGUGGGUCCUUCCCCGCUGGGCUCUGCUCAGCCUGUGGUGGCCACGUGGCAGGGGCCCCAUCCCAGACCUUCAGCCACUGCCAGCCCGGCCAGCCUGCGUCUGACGAUGUCAGUUCUCUCGGGUUUCCUUGAUCAGGCUUCCUCAAUGCCCAGAGCUUUGGGAUACUUCGUGGUGGCUCUCCGGGAUCCAGGUGGCCACCGUCCUCCCUGGCUCUCUGUGUUGCCCACUCCUGAGGCCCUGGCUCCUGGAUGCUUCAGCCUACGUGUGCCUCCUCGCUCUGUUUUCGUGGGUGCUACCCCUACGCAGGGCCCACCUCCUGGCUUCAGCCCCUGCCCACUCUUUGAGCAGGGGUGGAUCUCCCCAACACUCUGGCCCACACAGCUGUGCUUGCGGCCAAAUGACACAGGCGCGGCAGAGACUCUUGGAGCCUCUUCUUGAGGGGGACUCAACCUUGGGCUUCCAUGUGCAACCCUGCCGAGUCCAACGGAGCAGGAACCCAGAGUCAGGUCAGAGAGAAUCCCACCCCGAUGUCUGAGCUCCAGGAGCAGAUCAGACCUCAGUCCUCGACGCCUUCAGCAGGAUGCCCCGGCCCUGCCGCACCCUCCUGGUGAUUUUCCAGCCACGGACCCCCUCACUUCUCGGCUGUGAACCCCCCUUGUCCUGCUGCACCCAACAUAGAGCCCGUCUCUCCCUCACUGCGGGAGUCCAUAAUGAAGUCUUCCUUGCCAUUACGAUAAGCACCAGGAUAAUUUUUCCUUAACAGGUUCUCUCUAGACUGGAUCAGGGACAGUCUUGGCUGUAAAUUGUGAAUUAGCUGUGACUCUGCCACCCACGGUUGCCCGCCAGAGUUCUUUCUAAAUGUUCUAUCUGAGCCUGGCCGUUGCUCCUGGCUCUGGAGGUGCCAGAGUUUCUGAACGUUAAUCUGAGCCUGGCCGUUGCUGCUGGCUCUGGAGGUGCAGUCACACCACCCUGGCUGACACGCCUCGGCCUGACCUGCAGUCUCACCCCACAGAAGGAUCUGGGGUGAACGUCUGGCUCCAGGCACUGUUGCAGGGCUGUUGGGUCCUGUGUCUGAGCCCACAAAGGCUUCCUGGGAGCGGCAUCGCCAGCCCUGUGGACCCUGCUCCCUAUGGGCUUCUGGGUAUAGAUCAGGUGCCCAGCAUGCGCCCCCAGACAGGAGCUGCCCUCUGCCCUGCCUCUGGGACCCACUUUCACCCAAGUCCUGUGGGACUGGCAUAGCCUAGGGCCCGGGUGCUGGCAGCGUCUGGCUGGAGCCUGGGGCGGGGCAGGGCAGGGCCUUCCAGGCGCGUUCCCGAGCGUGCACUGAAGGUGUUAGCGCGUGGCACCGGAGACACCAGGCUGGAUGAGGCUGGACAAGCGCCUCCGCCAGAAGCAGCACAGGCCUGACACAGGCAAACCUCCCGGAGACCACCCCACGGACCCCAGCCCCUGCUGACCCUCCCAGGAGGCGUUGCUGGAAAUCCACCCUGAGAAUUCUGCUCCAGGAGCUGAACCAGCAGUAUCAGCAUCUUAAAGCACUGACCUACCUCUCGGCUGUGUGAUAUCUAGGGGUCCGUCCCAGACCAGCAUCCCCAGGGCUGACGGGUCUGCAGGGCACAGAGAUGUGGGACCUGCUGUGUCUCUGCCCCACAGUGGCCAUGCUGGGACACAGAGCUGCUGCUUGGGGAAGGGACAGAUUCAGACACAGUAGUGGGUUAACCUGAGGCCCUCUCAAAAGACAUGUCCACCUAGAACCUCGGGAAGGGACACGUCCGCCUGGAACCUCGGGAAGGGACGCGUCCGCCUGGAACCUCGGGAAGCGACGCGUCCGCCUGGAACCUCGGGAAGGGACGCGUCCGCCUGGAACCUCGGGAAGGGACGCGUCCGCCUGGAACCUCGGGAAGGGACGCGUCCGCCUGGAACCUCGGGAAGGGACGCGUCCGCCUGGAACCUCGGGAAGGGACGCGUCCGCCUGGAACCUCGGGAAGGGAUGCGUCCGCCUGGAACCUCGGGAAGGGAUGCGUCCGCCUGGAACCUCGGGAAGGGACGCGUCCACCUGGAACCUCGGGAAGGCCUUUGCAGAUGUGAUCGAGUUAAGGAUCUCAAGAUUCAAGAUAAGGUCACCCCAGGUUGCCUGCCUGGGCCCUGAGUCCAGUGGCGUGUCCUGGAGGGAGACCAGCAGAGGUGGAGGGCACGUCCAUGGGCUGAGAAGGGCAGGACUGUGACAGGAGGGAGGUGCAGGGCGGAUCCCCAGAGCCACUGCCUCCCCACGCUUGACCUCAGGCUCCUGGCCCCAGAACCAUGAGGGAAUAAACUGUCCUUUUAAGCCC